rnacentral:lncRNA from 1 species
CACUGUCAUCACCAUCAUCACAAUUAUCAUCACCAUCAUUCUCAUCAUCACUGACAGCAUCACUAUUGUCACCAUAGUCACCAUCACCAUUGACAUCAUCACCACCAUCAUCACCACAGUCAGUGCCGUGAUCACCAUCAUCCUCCCCAUCCUCACUAUCAUCAAUGCCAUCAUCACCACCAUGGCAAUGGCAGCAGGACACAGAGCACAUUUAUAAACUGACUUCUAUCUUUUAAAUACAUCAUUAAUCCUCCAAACAAACCUACAAAGUCCACCAAAAUUGUUUUCAUGUAGGAAAAAUACGGGCUUAGAUCAAUCAGGGUAUGUAGGAAGCUUGUGCAGCUCCUCCCAUUAGAAGGGAAUAAAUCAACUCUUUCACCCACGUGUUUUUUGAUGCUGCAGUUCUUUUUCCCCCUAAGCACACCAUCUCGAAACCAGAAAUGUUACAGUCAGCAUUCACAACCAGCUCCAAUGGGUGUGUCCAUACUUCAGAAACGAGGAACGUGACAGAAGUCAGAGUUAAAGAGGACACGCACGCUUCUGCCUUUAGACUCAGGGUUCACAUGCCUGGAAACACCUGGGGCCUCGACCCUGAUCAAAGACGACCUUCGAGGAAGACAAGCACUGGGGCUAGAGCUGCCAUCUUGGACCAUGGAGCCAUCUGACAGAAGGAUGCUGGCCUAGGAUCAUGCAGGGCCAUACAUGGCAAGAGUGUUCCAGUGAUUAGUUUGAGCUCCAACACUUUUGGUGCCAUCCAGUCUACCUGAGAACACCUGAAUAAAAUCUACUUUCUCAUCUAUGCAAAGACCCAAGGGAUGCAGCAAAGCCAUGUGAAAUCUCCAAACGUUGGAAAAGAUCAGUGUUAAGACCAGAGAAUCACUUGCAGGCUGCUGUGUACACCCGGACGGACACACAGAGAUGAAACCACCGCACAAGAACACCUGCAUUUUUUAGUCAAAGCAACUUUCAUUCAAAGAAAUACAAAUUAAUUUAACAUGAAUAAAAUAUCACUCAAAUGGUA